CGAGCGGUACAUUUCUAGCUUGCUAGAAGAUGACGAGCGGCGGACGGGUGAGUAAUGCUUGGGAAUAUGCCUUAUGGUGGGGGACGACAGUUGGAAACGACUGCUAAUACCGCAUAAUGUCUACGGACCAAAGGGGGGGAUCUUCGGACCUCUCGCCAUUUGAUUAGCCCAAGUGAGAUUAGCUAGUUGGUGAGGUAAUGGCUCACCAAGGCGACGAUCUCUAGCUGGUUUGAGAGGAUGAUCAGCCACACUGGGACUGAGACACGGCCCAGACUCCUACGGGAGGCAGCAGUGGGGAAUAUUGCACAAUGGGCGCAAGCCUGAUGCAGCCAUGCCGCGUGUGUGAAGAAGGCCUUCGGGUUGUAAAGCACUUUCAGUAAGGAGGAAAGGGAUGUAGUUAAUAACUGCAUUCUGUGACGUUACUUACAGAAGAAGCACCGGCUAACUUCGUGCCAGCAGCCGCGGUAAUACGAGGGGUGCAAGCGUUAAUCGGAAUUACUGGGCGUAAAGCGUUCGUAGGCGGUUGAUUAAGCAAGAUGUGAAAGCCCAGGGCUCAACCUUGGAACUGCAUUUUGAACUGGUCAACUAGAGUACUGUAGAGGGUGGUGGAAUUUCCA
rnacentral:rRNA from 1 species